CAAAACGAGCAUUUUUUAAAUACCUUUUUCACAUUAGAUUAAUUUAAAAUAUGCUAUAAGCUAUAUUUGUGCAGAAAUAAUUCCUGUGAUUUUUCUUUUAUGCUCCACGAAAACAAUACAGCAUGUUACAGGUUUGGAAUGAGAUGAGGGUGAGUAAAUAUAUUUUAUUUUUUGGGUGAACUCUUCCUUUAGGGCCUUGGUCCCUUGGUCUUGUUUUUCAAUUCACUGUGAGACACCCCAUCGCUGGCAGCAGCCUAGCUCCAGCCACCUAGAAAAAUAACACUUCUAAUAAGAAUGUAGAUAGCGUAUUGAAUUUCUGACUCAUUCAACAUAUUACUAAGACAGAACAAUCGCCAGCCCCUGACAGUAAUGGCUGGGGAGUCUGCUGCUUCAGGGGAGGACACUUUUCCCUUUCAUUACUGUUUGUUCAAUGAGAUGUUGCCCUUGGCUGUCAGAUGUGUGUGCGUUAAGGACUUUGAGUGGUCACCCUGAAAACACGCCAGUAACUGAAGCGCCCUCUAAUCUGCAAGCAGACUGUCCCGAUGACUUGGGCGUUUUCUUUAACUGUCUGGCUGGUGAGACAGUCUGUUAUUCUGCACGUCUGUCAAGAGGACAGCACAAUGCCAAACAACAAGGCUCUCAGGGCCGGUUUCAAUCAAAGAGACAAUGACGUGUCAACACGGCGCAUCUGCUGACACUUCGCAGAACAGGUGAGCUUUCAGAAAUAAUAAUGAGGUAAGUUUAUUUAAGGAGAUAUGAAGGAGAGAACAGUCAGUGCAAUACAUGACAGGCCCACUGUACGCCACUAAUAGCUUAUUUUCCUAAGGAAAACCACAACUAAUCCAUUUCUGCUCAAUCAUAAACAUGUGGAUUACUGGACACUAGAUCAUGCAUGGGUUAGCCGAGAUGGGUGUCAUUUUUUUUUUUUCUCUUGUGAUACAUUCCACUGCCAUGCCACUUGUCUGGCCCGGACUCAGGAUAUCAGUCUCUUUUGCCAAGAUUUAAUGGAAUUUCACUGCCAUCCAGAGCAAUCUGUCUGGAUCCAGAUAGAUUUGCUCAUUUCAUUAACGUUCAACUUGUUCAGAGACCACCUUGAGCAACCAAAAAAUUAGCACAUGAACGACUGGGUGGCAGAAAUUACCAGCCGCCCUGAGAUUGGGUGGGAGAAAUUGAUUGACCGACCAUGCAUAGACAUAUAUUGAAAGGAAUGAGCUAAAUAGCAAUAAAAUGGAAGAC
ensembl:lncRNA